GGACUGUACACAGGCUCGAGGUGAGUGG
rnacentral:sRNA from 1 species